rnacentral:tRNA from 1 species
CGGCGCAUGGUGUAGGGGAUCUGCGCACUCGGCCGAUACCCGAGAGGUCCUGGUUCGACUCCAGGUGCGCCGA